AUAGAUAUACUUGGAGUACCGUUUGGUUCAGGUAUAAGCAAGAACUAGCUAUUACAGGAAUAGGUACAAGUAUGGGGAUAAGAAAAAAAGUGUUUGGAUGAAAAUUGGGUUGUUCCCGGAAAUAAGAAAAAUAGCGUUUGGAUAGAUAAUAUGGAAUAAGAAAAAUAUUAGACAAUUUUAUAUAAAAAAUGAAGGUAUUGGUGGGCAUUGUUAUAACCGGUUAUUAUAGGUAAUCGAGAACUACUGUUCUCGGAUAAAAAAAUUAGUGUUUGGGUAUAAAAGAGGGGAUAAGGGCCUAUCCCUAUCCCCUAACCAAACAC
rnacentral:lncRNA from 1 species